GAGAGAGUACUAAUCUAAUUGUUAAUUUGCUGUCUUGAGGCUGCACAGAUUCUCUGUCGAUCGACUUGUCAGGCGCAACGGAUCUUCUGUCCCAUACCCUAUCUCACAUCCUAUCCCACUCCUUAUAAUUUCGCCAAGUGUCCCUUAAUAAAUCAAACCCUCAAAUAACCCAACUCAGAUCAUAGUAAGUUAAUUAAUCAGUUAACCGGGCAAAGAAACUUAAACCCAUUCAAUCUCUAUAACCAAAACUGAUUAAAAUAAAAACAUAAUCUGAAAUUCACGGUUGUUUCAAGAGGAAAAAAACCCUAAAACCCAGGAAAUCUCUGUCCUCUCUUCAUCAUCUUCUCCAUUCAAACAGACAACUUCACGGAUAAUUCAGCGUCAUGAAUCAGCUUUGACGAAAGAGUCACGGAUAUGGUCCGACAUGCUGAAAAGGGUUUGCCCGAAGAUGCAUUGGCCUGAAUUUCAUGGAUAAGGAAUGGGUUACAAGAGGAUCCCCCACCUGAUGCUCUGAACGAGAAGAUUGUGAUUCUAGACAUUGUGCCAAAACUUGCACGUCUUUAUUUCCUGGAGAAGCUUCUUGUUACGCUAUCAUAUGCCCAACCUUCUGUUUGCUGUGCAUAGGCUUGUAAAGAAAGGACAUAUCUGUUAUUGAGGAAUUUGGAAUUCCAAUAGAAGACAUCUGCAAUAGACAAAAUACUAAGAACAUGACACAAUUAUUACAAACGUUGGACCCUAACUUCUACUAAGGCUAUGAUUUGAUGUCUUCAAGUUCAAUAGCACAACAACAUGCAUCAAUAAGUUUUGUCCAAGCACAAGAACUUGAAAAUAAUGAUGAUUCUGAUCAACAAGUUGUUGAAAAUGGGAAAAUUGAAUGAAGAUGCUUCUGAAGAAAUGGAGGACGAAACUGUGGGAUUGCAUUCAUGGAUUAGUUAGACCUUUAAGUGGAAUAAUACUUUGUGCUUAUAUUUCAAUUGAUCUUGAUAUUUUUGU